rnacentral:rRNA from 1 species
ACGAACGCUGGCGGCGUGCUUAACCCAUGCAAGUCGAACGGUGAAGCGCCUUCCUUUUUGGUGGGUGUGGAUGAGUGGCGAACGGGUGAGUAACACGUGAGUAACCUGCCCCCUUCUUCUGGAUAACCGCAUGAAAGUGUGGCUAAUACGGGAUAUUCUGGGUCUGUCGCAUGAUGGGUCUGGGAAAGAUAUUGUUUCGGUGGGGGAUGGGCUCGCGGCCUAUCAGCUUGUUGGUGGGGUGAUGGCCUACCAAGGCGGUGACGGGUAGCCGGCCUGAGAGGGUGGACGGUCACACUGGGACUGAGACACGGCCCAGACUCCUACGGGAGGCAGCAGUGGGGAAUAUUGCACAAUGGGCGCAAGCCUGAUGCAGCGACGCCGCGUGAGGGAUGGAGGCCCGCGGGUUGUGAACCUCUUUCGCCAGUGAAGCAGGCCUGCCUCGUUUGUGGGUGGGUUGACGGUAGCUGGAUAAGAAGCGCCGGCUAACUACGUG